GGCUUUGUAAGUUAGAGGUGAAAGCCUGGAGCUCAACUCCAGAAUUGCCUUUAAGACUGCAUCGCUUGAAUCCAGGAGAGGUGAGUGGAAUUCCGAGUGUAGAGGUGAAAUUCGUAGAUAUUCGGAAGAACACCAGUGGCGAAGGCGGCUCACUGGACUGGUAUUGACGCUGAGGUGCGAAAGCGUGGGGAGCAAACAGGAUUAGAUACCCUGCGUAGUCCACGCCGUAAACGAUGAUAACUAGCUGUCAGGGUUCACAGAACUUUGGUGGCGCAGCUAACGCAUUAAGUUAUCCGCCUGGGGAGUACGGUCACAAGAUUAAAACUCAAAGGAAUUGACGGGGGCCUGCACAAGCGGUGGAGCAUGUGGUUUAAUUCGAAGCGACGCGCAGAACCUUACCAGCGUUUGACAUGCCUAGUAUGGUUUCCAGAGAUGGAUUCCUUCAGUUCGGCUGGCUAGUGCACAGGUGCUGCAGGGCUGUCGUCAGCUCGUGUCGUGAGAUGUUGGGUUAAGUCCCGCAACGAGCGCAACCCUCGUCUUUAGUUACCAUCAUUUAGUUGGGUACUCUAAAGAAACCGCCGGUGAUAAGCCGGAGGAAGGUGGGGAUGACGUCAAGUCCUCAUGGCCCUUACGCGCUGGGCUACACACGUGCUACAAUGGCGAUUACAGUGGGCUGCAAUCCCGCGAGGGUGAGCUAAUCUCCAAAAGUCGUCUCAGUUCGGAUUGUUCUCUGCAACUCGAGAGCAUGAAGGCGGAAUCGCUAGUAAUCGCGGA
rnacentral:rRNA from 1 species